AAUGAGUGUAGCCGUCGGCAAGUCUCUGGGCCUGUAUUUCAUGCAAGGGAACUGUUUCUUCCUAAUGAUGCUCUCUGAGUAAUUAGAGUCUAAAACAUGGAUUUUCCCUUCCUGUCUAUUUUCUGAGAGCUCAGGAUUUUAGUAAAAGAUAAGGGACAGAGGCAACCUGACCCAUCAGCAGCCAAUCAAGAAACAUUUGUCUGGGAAUGAAGGUGAAAGAAAACCAAUGAAGGAGCAGCUCCAGUUCUACAAUCAAGAGGACAAGACAUCCAUGACAGCUCAACUCAUGACCCUCAAAGGAGGACUUCCAGAACUGCUGCAGAAAGUGACAGGAACGAUGGGAUAUUUAUUGGCCUUAUCACCUGUGGGAAGGUAACUUAAUAGAAUAUGAAUCCACAUGCUGCACAGUUCCUGGUCUUCAGAAGUUCAGCACUCCUAUGGCGGCGGGGAGAUGCAUGCACAGCCGGCGGAACUACAGGUUCUAACAAUUCCGACCUCUGACCGUUUCUUGACUCGUUCCCCUCCCUGUCAUGGGCAAGCCUGCUAUGUUAGCUCAAGCCAUCCAUAGCUCUUUUGGUUUUCUGCAGCAAUCACUCGUAACAUUGCUCCUCCACAAAACAAAACAAAAGAAAACAUCACUCCUUGUCCCCAGUCGUGCCUGCUUCAAAUCUAUUCUUCACAAUGUUCUUUCUAAAAUGCUAUGCUAAAUUGGAUCUGGUGGGGCA